AGUGAACGCUGGCGGUAGGCCUAACACAUGCAAGUCGAACGGCAGCACAGUAAGAGCUUGCUCUUACGGGUGGCGAGUGGCGGACGGGUGAGGAAUACAUCGGAAUCUACUUUUUCGUGGGGGAUAACGUAGGGAAACUUACGCUAAUACCGCAUACGACCUACGGGUGAAAGCAGGGGAUCUUCGGACCUUGCGCGAUUGAAUGAGCCGAUGUCGGAUUAGCUAGUUGGCGGGGUAAAGGCCCACCAAGGCGACGAUCCGUAGCUGGUCUGAGAGGAUGAUCAGCCAAACUGGAACUGAGACACGUGCCAGCACCCGAGGGGGGGAAGCAGGGGGAAAAUUGGGGAAAUGGGCGAAAGCCUGACCCAGCCAACCCGGGGGGGUGAAGAAGGCCUUCGGGUUGUAAAGCCCUUUUUUUGGGAAAAAAAAGCAGCAGGUUAAAACCCCGCUGUUCUGAAGGUACCAAAAAAAUAAGCCCCGGCUAACUUCGG
rnacentral:rRNA from 1 species